rnacentral:rRNA from 1 species
UAAGGAAUAUUGGUCAAUGGACGAAAGUCUGAACCAGCCAUCCCGCGUGCAGGAUGAAGGUCCUAUGGAUUGUAAACUGCUUUUAGCAGAGAAGAAAAGCAUUCAUUUAUGAGUGUCUGACGGUAUCUGCGGAAUAAGCACCGGCUAACUCCGUGCCAGCAGCCGCGGUAAUACGGAGGGUGCAAGCGUUAUCCGGAAUCACUGGGUUUAAAGGGUGCGUAGGCGGAAUAUUAAGUCAGUGGUGAAAGCCUGUCGCUUAACGAUAGAACUGCCAUUGAUACUGAUAUUCUUGAAUUGGGUUGAGGUUAGCGGAAUGUGACAUGUAGCGGUGAAAUGCAUAGAUAUGUCAUGGAACACCAAUUGCGAAGGCAGCUAGCUGGGCCUUGAUUGACGCUGAGGCACGAAAGCGUGGGUAGCGAACAGG